CCCCUCUCAGGAUUGCACCUUGAGAGUUUCUAGUACUUUACCAGUCUCAACUACAGGAGAGAAAGUCACGCAGAGGCCUGUCCAAUUCAUUCCUAGCUUGGGCAGUGGCUAGCGAGUGGAAGACAAUCUGCUACAAGU